GACGAACGCUGGCGGCGUGCUUAACACAUGCAAGUCGAGCGAUGAAGCACCUUCGGGUGUGGAUUAGCGGCGAACGGGUGAGGAACACGUGAAGAAUCUGCCUUCAACUCUGGGAUAACUCCGGGAAACCGGGGCUAAUACCGGAUAUGAGCCUUGGCCGCAUGGCCGGGGCUGGAAAGUUUUUCGGUUGAAGAUGACUUCGCGGCCUAUCAGCUUGUUGGUGAGGUAAUGGCGCACCAAGGCGACGACGGGGAGCCGGCCUGAGAGGGCGACCGGCCACACUGGGAAUGAGACACGGCCCAGACUCCUACGGGAGGCAGCAGUGGGGAAUAUUGGGCAAUGGAGGAAACUCUGACCCAGCGACGCCGCGUGAGGGAUGAAGGCCUUCGGGUUGUAAACCUCUUUCAGUAGGGAAGAAGCGAAAGUGACGGUACCUACAGAAGAAGCACCGGCUAACUAUGUGCCAGCCGCCGCGGUAA
rnacentral:rRNA from 1 species